GAUGAACGCUGGCGGCGUGCCUAAUACAUGCAAGUCGAGCGAACGUACGAGAAGCUUGCUUCUCUGAUGUUAGCGGCGGACGGGUGAGUAACACGUGGAUAACCUACCUAUAAGACUGGGAUAACUUCGGGAAACCGGAGCUAAUACCGGAUGAUAUUUUGAACCGCAUGGUUCAAAAGUGAAAGACGGUCUUGCUGUCACUUAUAGAUGGAUCCGCGCUGCAUUAGCUAGUUGGUAAGGUAACGGCUUACCAAGGCAACGAUGCAUAGCCGACCUGAGAGGGUGAUCGGCCACACUGGAACUGAGACACGGUCCAGACUCCUACGGGAGGCAGCAGUAGGGAAUCUUCCGCAAUGGGCGAAAGCCUGACGGAGCAACGCCGCGUGAGUGAUGAAGGCCUUCGGAUCGUAAAACUCUGUUAUUAGGGAAGAACAUAUGUGUAAGUAACUGUGCACAUCUUGACGGUACCUAAUCAGAAAGCCACGGCUAACUACGUG
rnacentral:rRNA from 1 species